UUUAAUAACAUAUAUUUUCAAUUCAGUAACUAAAAACUGAAAAGAACAACUUUCUGUCGAAUCGAUUAAGUAAGUUACUGAAAAGCCAGUAAACAGAGCGAUAUAAUUCCUCCUCCCGGCAAACAAUGCGAGGGUUGGUGAGGUACCUCUCGCUCUAAUUUCUCUAGUCUAGUCUAGUUGCCUCGCUUCCUCCUAUAGCGAUUCUGUCGAGCUGAGCUUUCACGUCCCUCACCACCGAUCUCCUUCCUACCCCUCGCCUAAGAUCGUCUGACGUCUCGCCUGACACCUUUCGUUGUGUUGGUGCUCGGCGGCUGCUGUCACUGUAGAAGUCAGGUUGUGUGUGUAAAAAAAACGUAAACAGUGUUGUUGGCUGAUCAAUUUUGGUAAGUUUUUUAAUAAUUAAGUUCUUAAUUUUACGUAAGUAAGUGCCAUUUUAGCUAAAGUAAGUAGUUGAAGUCCUGCCCAAUGCGUGCUGGCUCCGUCGGAAGCGUUACGUGCAUGUACCGGCGUAGGAAAGUGGUGUGGUGAACAACACAGCACAAGACAGCGGAUAUAAUGCAGAAACGAUAUGGGCCUGCGGCAGGUGUUUGCGACUGUGCGCUGUGUAUGAUUGUGUAUGAUACGCCAAUUUUCCUCUAUCCUGGAACGUGGGCUUACGAGGAACCGUUCAAGAAGAUCCUCCGGAAGCUGUACGGCGACGAGUCGGGCUCUACCAGCACAACACGCUAGAGGCCCAGCCGGCACCGGGUGCCCCGAUUGCGCCGUCAGACAAUGUCGAUCGCGCUCUUUAACAACGUUCGGGGCAGGAAUGCAACCCUUCUGAUCAUUAUCCUCUGCCUCACAAUAGCUGCAGCAGCAACAGGACCGAACCGACCGCACUACUGAUUGCGGUCAAAUUUCCUGGCAGGAGAAAAAAUCCCACAAGUGUAUCGAUUGCAUCGACGGUCGCUCGCUGACGGCACCAACAUGCCACUGAAUAACCCCGGAAAGGCGACAAACAUCACGACAUCACGUUAAAAGUGUUAAUGUGUUAAUUGAACAAACUUGAUGUUAACGAGUUAAGUUUAAUUUUAAGUGCGCUUUGAGGCAUAAAUCGAUAUGGCUAAUUUUAAGUUAAGUGUUUUGACAUGCGCGUGUGUGUGAAGGGGCGGAAUAAGCGCUAAGCAAACUAAGCGGCUGCGUAGGGCCCCGUGGUCUUGAGUGGGCCCAAAAAAGGAACUCACCCCCCACUCGCAAGUUAAAUUGCUGCUAAAUCCUUCUCUAGUUUAGAAUAUUUCCCUGCUAGACGCUUAAACCAAUCUUACAUUUAUGUGACUGAUUAGGGCCUCCACUCGUAUGUGUGGGUUUUGCACAACAUUUAAGCUAAAUAAAUUUAGUUUAUAUUAUCAUAAAA